AUAAGCAUAUUUUACCUUAAGAGACAAGCGGAGAUUGAACUUGCAGCGUCUAGCAAUUUUAUAAUUGCACAGUCUGUUCAAUGUAAUCUUAAAAACAAAAAUAAUUAAUUAAUUUUCGCUCUUUUCUUUUUAUUCUAUUAAUUUCUAGAGAAUCACUAUGAUUAUGGCAAAGGAAAUUACAACUAACUUUGUUGGCCGCGAAAGCAGCAAGUACAUUCAUUAUGCUUAUGGAGUUGAAUGUUACAAAUCCGAGAACCAGUAGAGCAUAAUCCAAAAGAUCACUUCCAGUACCAAUGAAGGUAGCAGCAAAGAGGAUGAAAUUGCCUGUACCGGAGACAACGAGGAUACCAUAAAAAAACAGCUUACCCCAGUCCACGUUUAAAUUUGCCAUGGCCUGACCAUAGUUAUGACAUGAAUCCAGUGAGAAGAUGGCAAAUGUAAUGAUCAUGGUAUUGUGAACGUAAAACCAAAUUGUUGGAAAUGCACCGGCGGCAUAAACGAAAGCUGUUAAUAUUGACCAUAAACCAGUUGUUAUAGAGGUUAACCAACUGGUAUGAUUUAUUGGAUUGCUGAGGUAGUUAUAGGAUAACCAUCCACUUACACAAGUGCAUACAAAUGCGUUGGUCAUUUUGUAAAAUAUACCAAAGAGAUAAAAAUAAAGCCUCAUGUAAGAAUUGGCUCGAGGUGUUAACAUGAACGUGGUGCAAUCAAAUCGUUUUUCCCGUAAUUGAUGGAGUUUUCUCAGUAUAACAACCUUUUUAAGUCGCUCAGUUAGGAAACCAAAAUAUCGCAAUCCUAUCACCAAAGUCAAGACCAUCAUUAAAACCGUAUUUUGUAUUCCAUGAGAAAAUGAACCAAUGAAUAUAUCACCGAGUAGUAACCGAGUAUAGUCAUCCUUGAGACAUAUGGUUAAAGCAGUCUUCGCUAUCAAAAUGGCUCCUACAGUAUUAGCAAAUGCCGCAAUCCUGUAAUAUUUCCGUUCAAUUUCUUUUUCCUGAGGAUAACCUCUGAUAAUAGUUAACCAAUAAUAACCAGAGUGUUCUAGAUAGUUGAGCAAAUCAAUGGAUUUUUGUACUGUGGAUCGACGGGCAAGCCAACGGAAUGCAAAUGAAUCGGGCAGCUGAUUAUCAAAGAUGGACAUUCGAUAUUUAAUAUAACGCAUCUUGAAAACUGUCAGGUCAUGAAGUGUGUAAACAAAAUGUAGCAAAAACAGAAUGUGAGUGAAGUUUAUAAUUGCUACGAGAUUACUUUUCAUUAUAAUACAAUCUCAAUAUCUUCAUUAUCAGGCCUGUUGCGUGGUCCUGUUCAUUUACUUUCUCAGACAUCCAACCACAGUUUUAGUUUUUAUGUAAAAAUCAAAAGCAAUCCUAAGUCUAGCAAUUCUCAGGAGUUGAAAUAAAAAAUUUUCCAGCCAAAAACAAUAUUACAGAGUAAAUAAAGCUCACCUUAAUUUUAA